rnacentral:rRNA from 1 species
GACGAACGCUGGCGGCGUGCCUAAUACAUGCAAGUCGAACGAGUGGCGGACGGGUGAGUAAUGUCUGGGAAACUGCCUGAUGGAGGGGGAUAACUACUGGAAACGGUAGCUAAUACCGCAUACCAUCAGAUGUGCCCAGAUGGGAUUGGCUUGUUGGUGGGGUAACGGCUCACCAAGGCGACGAUCCCUAGCUGGUCUGAGAGGAUGACCAGCCACACUGGAACUGAGACACGGUCCAGACUCGUACGGGAGGCAGCAGUGGGGAAUAUUGCACAAUGGGCGCAAGCCUGAUGCAGCCAUGCCGCGUGUAUGAAGAAGGCCUUCGGGUUGUAAAGUACUUUCAGCGGGGAGGAGGUAACCGAAGAAGAAGCACCGGCUAACUCCGUGCCAGCCGCCGCGGUAAUUG